rnacentral:rRNA from 1 species
GAUGAACGCUGGCGGCGUGCCUAAUACAUGCAAGUCGAGCGAACGGACGAGAAGCUUGCUUCUCUGAUGUUAGCGGCGGACGGGUGAGUAACACGUGGAUAACCUACCUAUAAGACUGGGAUAACUUCGGGAAACCGGAGCUAAUACCGGAUAAUAUUUUGAACCGCAUGGUUCAAAAGUGAAAGACGGUCUUGCUGUCGCUUAUAGAUGGAUCCGCGCUGCAUUAGCUAGUUGGUAAGGUAACGGCUUACCACGGCAACGAUGCAUAGCCGACCUGAGAGGGUGAUCGGCCACACUGGAACUGAGACACGGUCCAGACUCCUACGGGAGGCAGCAGUAGGGAAUCUUCCGCAAUGGGCGAAAGCCUGACGGAGCAACGCCGCGUGAGUGAUGAAGGUCUUCGGAUCGUAAAACUCUGUUAUUAGGGAAGAACAUAUGUGUAAGUAACUGUGCACAUCUUGACGGUACCUAAUCAGAAAGCCACGGCUAACUACGUG